rnacentral:lncRNA from 1 species
UCUUGGUGCAGCACAUUGACUUGACCAUGGAUUUACUACGAGAUCGAGCUGAAAGACAUCCAAAAUUGUUCAACAUUCCUAGCCGACUCAUAUUGAACACAGAGUUCGUCCGUACCGUUGACAUUGAGUACCAGUCGCUCCAAGCUAUAGAUAACGAGUACACGCUGCCGACAUAUAUGAUAGAGUGGGUCGUAGGGAUGUGGCCGAGUGUUGGAGGAAAGUCAUGGGAGGGUUGUACGCAUCUGUAUAUGCCCGUGUGUGUGAACCAUCACUAUAUUGCAGUAGAGAUCGUAUUCGCCGACUCCACUAUGUUUGUGUACAACUCCGAUCAUUCAUGCUUGACACAAGGUCAGCUCGAGCGAAAUCUGGAGUUGGUGUCUGUGAUCGUUCCCAUGAUGGCUAGACGAGCAAACAUCUCUGUGUAGGAGAGACUAGCUACCGUACGGGACAUGACGACGACGAGGCAACAAAUAUCUUAAGUGUGUGUGAUUUUAUUUUUUUAAUUUACAACUUAGAUUUUAACUAGAUGACGAUGUACUAAUGCAAUCUUGUUUAAUUGUAAGGGUGAUUGCGGC